GCGCGCUGGCGCUGGGGGCCGGGGGUCUCUUCGCGGCUCGUCGGCUCGGCUCUUCAGGUACCCAGGCCCCUCCAAAAUCCGCCGGAGGUGAUGGUGGCAGGUGCAGGUGCGGGACACGUCAGCCUGAAACCGAUCCUUCCUAACUGCCCAACUCGCCCGUGGGAAGGCAGAGGCGCAGAAUCAAUGAGGUAUUCCCAGGGCACAAAACUAGUUAAGUGGCCGCACCAGAUUUCACUCCAAUGUCCAGCUACUCUUUCUACCACACCCGUUUGGAGAAUCUUUUUUUCCGCCUAUUUCCAAAUGUUUAAAACUGUUGAAAGUUUUUUUUUUUUCUUUUCUUUUCAGGUUGUUAAGAAUCUUAAGAGUAGAGCAGUGUAAGAAGCAUCCCAGGUCGCUCUGACUUUGUCUUUACAGCUCAGCUACCAGAGCUGUAUCCCAAAGCAAAACUAGGAAAAGCGUGCAAGAGUCAUAACACGUAACAGUUGGGGGGUUUGGGCACCCCUGUAACCUCCAGCACCACCUCCCCCCAUUCUCUGAUAUGGAAAAUCUUUAAUUUUCUCAAUCCUGUGUAUAGUGCUGUAAUAAAUAGAGCUGUUCCCUCCCAAUCAGAUAGAGGCUCUAAGAUAAAAUCUGAAACUACUCCAGGGAUACAGUUGAAGCCAUUUCUGUAUUGUCCCAAGCUAGUCCAUUCUGAUCAGAGUAAAGUAUCCAAAUUCUCAACAUAAGCCCUGCUUGCAAAGACCUCAAGAACCUGCUCCAGGGCAGCCCCGGUGGCGCAGCCGUUUAGCACUGCCUGUGAUCCUGGAGACCCUGGAUCGAGUCCCACGUCGGGCUCCCAGCAUGGAGCCUGCUACUCCCUCUGCCUGUGUCUCUGCCUCUCUGUGUCUCUCAUGAAUAAAUAAAUAAUUUUAAAAAUUAAAAAAAAAAAAAAAGAACCUGCUCCAGCCCAGCUAUAUAGCAGAUACUUGAGUAAGACCUUGGAGUCAGGGAGUUGUCUGCCGGCAAGCUCCCCCAAAGCCUCCCUCAACCUAACCCUGAGCCACAGCUGGAGGCCUUUAUUAACCCCACGGUAGUGAACCCUCCUGGUCCUGGGCCACUGGUGUCCUCCAGGCAAGGAUGCCUUUCUCUCAAGACUCAGAAUUUUGCCCCCUACCAUUCUCCUUUAGCCUCUUAUAAAUCUAAAUUCAAGCUUCAUCUUCCCCCUAAGCCUUUCUACAUUAUUCCAACCCCAAAUUGCUCUUUCUCUUGAACAUAACUAUACCUCUUAGAGCUCAAACCUCAGUCUCUGAAGCAUAUUCUGCUUCUCCAAUUGUCUUAUGCAUGGUGAUUUCUUUUUCCUUUCUAACAAAAUUGUGAAGUCCGGGAAUUCUCUCAGGGAGUUAAUGUUUGUACUUUUCUGUCUCUUCUAAUGUAUAUCACAGGUAUUAGUUGAUGGAAUCUGCCUCUAUCUCAAUUUUUCUCAUAGCCUUCCUCUCAUGCUCCUCUUAAUGAAAUAUCUCUUUCGUAUAUACAAAUCUUAAGCUUUUUAUGUAUCAACCAUAGUGAUUGUGAAUUCUCAGUGGUAUGUGAUAGAAUCUUUUAUACAACAUAGCUUAGAACUUCAAGAUGUCCUAAUACAAAUCUGAAUUUCUAACAGCACCGAUGCACAGUCUAGUUCUCAUCAGUAACCAAGAGGUUUGGCAAGUGAGAAAACAUCACCCUAAAACAAAAGCGGGCUGUUUGCACUUCAGAAUGAAAAGAGACAAAGUGUUCUUUUAUAACCAUCAAACAAACAAAUGAAAGGAUGAAAUACUGGAGGCUUAAGAGUGAUGAAGUAGCUUGCCCAAGAUUGUGCUCAGCUGGCAGCUGGCUGGGCAGUGAAGCCCCAUGGCCUGAGGCUCCCCAACUGGACUACACUGUCAAGUUCUUUGUCAGAGAACAGGUAGUGAGAACAAAACUCACCUGCAUAAUUAAGGCUUUAAUGCAAUACUUUUAUUGAUCCAAUACAUUUUGGAGUAGGCUAUUUUCAAAAUGUUCUGGAAAACGCUAUGGGAUCUUAUAUUAGAUGCAAGUUCAAAGUCUAAGUAAGAACCAGGAAUUUUGUUAGAACAUACACACAGAAUUUAGUGACUUUAUUUAUUAUCUUAAAACUACACAUGUACCACAGCAGGACUCUUAACAGUCUGGUUCUAAUCCUGACUAUGUGGCUUCCAGUGAAUCACUUACCUCUCUCUGAGCCUCGAUUUUGGUAUCUAUCAAAUAUAGGUACUAAACUAGACCAAGGGAUUCCAGUUUCUUUAUUCAAACAAAAUCUUACUUGGGAUCCAACAUAUAAAACACACUAACAGCCGAGUUUUUCAGUUUUGUUUUGUUUUGUUUUCCAGGAGGGGAAGGGUCCCCACAGGCCAGCUCCUUGCUCACCUCCAGCCCCCCGAGGCCACUCCCUGAGCCCCAGCACCACGUGCAGGGAAGCAGCACAGCUUUUCCCAAAAGCAGUUCAGUCACUGUGGCAGCAGCACAGACCCUUUAGAAAUUCAACAGAAAGAUCACCUUUCUUGUAGAGGGGGAAAAAAAGGAGUCCAGCAUAACCAGGACUGCCAAGAAUAAAGGGAAGCCAAAAAGGAGAGAAAGAAAGCAGAAAUGUAAAAUUCCAUGUAAAGACUCAACUCAAGUCUCUGGCAGACCCCCGAACCAUGCAUGUGUUGGGCCAACUGAAAGAAGUUUGCAGCCAAGGCUUAAAGAGCUGAACUGAGAUCUGAGCCAUCACCCACUACAGCAUGGCAGGGUGGAGUUGGGUCUAACCAAAUUCAUUACCUAAAACAAAAACCUCAGCACUGUUCAGAACAAUAGAACAAUCCAAAUCCUCCACAACAGAACCUUUACAAUGUCUAGAUUAUAAUCCAAAAUUACUGAACUUGUAAAGAGUCAGAAAAUGUGACCCAUUUCCAAAGGGAAUGAGAACCAACAGAUGCCAAUCUUGAGAUGACCUGGAUGUUGGAAUUUUCAGACAAGGACUUUCAAGCCCCUUUUAUAACUAUGCUCAAUGAGGUAAAAGAAAAUAUGCUACUAAUUCAUAUAAUUUAAAAAAUCAAACAGAAAAUAUAAAAAAAGAACCAAGUAGAAACUUUAGAACAGAAAAAUAUACUCCCUGAAAUUUUUUUUAAAAAAUCACUAGACCAAAGAAAGAAUGGAGAUGACAAAGGAAAAAGUCAGUGAACUUGAAAACAUAUUAACAAAAAUUCAAUCAGGGGCACUUGGAUAGCACAGUCAGUUAAGCAUCUGAGUCCUGGUUUCAGCUCAUAAUUUUAGGGUCAUGAGAUUGAGCCCAUCAGGCUCUGUGCCCAACACAGUCUGCUUAAGACUCUCUGUCCCUCAGGCCCUCCCCUGCCAUACUCUUCCUCUAAAGUAAAUAGAUCUUUAAAAAGGAUGAAGAAAGAAAACACUGAAAAUAAUAAAUGGAGCUUCCUGGAACUAUGGGACAAUUUCUAAUGCCUCACAUAGGGACACUAGAAUCAUAAAAGGAGAGGAUAAAGAAACUACAGCAGGACAAACAAUCAAAGAAAUAAUGGCUAAUCAUUUCCCAAAUUUGGUGAAAGACAUAAAUUUGCAAAUCCAAGAGUCUCAGCAAAUCCCAAACAGAAUAAAUCCAAAGAGAAAUAUACCUUGGGAUAUCUUAUUCAAACUACUGAAACCCACAAGAUUGAAAGCAAUCUUGUUACAUACAAGGGAAUAAUAAUUUGAACUACCACAGAUUUCUCAUCAGAAACUGGAAGUCAGAAGACAGCACUAAAAGAAAGAAAUUUAUCCCUAAACGCUCAAUGAUUCAAUAAUGAUGGUAAAAUAAAGAGCUCACUUUCAGAUAAAGAAAAACUAAGUGAAUUUGUCCUCAUGUGUGCUAUACUAAACAAAAUGCUACAUAAAGGUCUUCAGGCUGAAGAGAGAUGAUCUACGAGAAACAGAUUUUCAGGAAUGAAUGAAGAACAUCAGAAAUAGGUACUAUAUGAGUAGAUAUGAAAGACAAUAUUAAAAGCGAUUGUAACAAUGUAUUGUGGGUUUAAAAUGCAUGCAAGUGUGAUACCUAUAACAGCAGAGGAAAGGGUAAAUGGACCUAUAUCAUGGCAAGAUUUUUUUUUUUAAGAUUUUUAUUUAUUUAUUCAUGAGAGACACACAGAGAGGGAGAGAGAGAGGCAGAGACACAAGGCAGAGGGCAAGGCAGGCUCCAUGCAGGGAGCCCAACGUGGGACUCGAUCCCAGGUCUCCAGGAUCAGGCCCUGGGCCGAAGGCGGCUCUAAACUGCUGAGCCACCCGGGCUGCCCUCAUUGCAAGAUUUCUACAUUUUACACAAAGUAGUUUAAUAUUAGAUCUUUAAGUAGACUAUGAACAAAUAAUGAUGUACAUUGUGAUACGCAAGGAUAAUGGCUAAUAUACUAGAGAAAAGAGACAUAGCAAAAUGCCAAUAGAUAUAUUAAAAUGGAAUUUUUAAAAAUAAUAAUCCAAAAGAAUACAAAAGAAGGGAGAACAAAAAUAAGCAAAACAAACCAGAGGGUGUAAACAGAAAAUAAAUAAUAAAAUGACAGACCUAAAUCCAAUCCUAGUAAUUAUUAAAUGUCAAUGGACUAUACACUCCAGUGAAAGAGAUAUCAGAAUAUACUUUAAAAAGCAAGACUUAACUAUGUCUUGUCAAUAAGAGAUGCAUGUUAAGUAUAGAGACAUGGAUCAACUGAAAAUAAGUGGGUGGAAAAAGGUAUAUAAUACAAACAGUAAAGAGAGCAGGAAUAGCUAUAUUAAUGCCAGAGAAGACAGAUUUCAAGACAGAGAAUAUGAACAAGACAGUGACCAACAUUUCAAAAUAAGGAAAAAGUCAAUUCAUCACCAAGACAUGACAAUAAAAAUUUAUACAUAUUUAAUAAAGCUUCAAAAUAUAUGAAAUUAAAAAAUUAAAUAGAUGGUCUAAAACCAUACCAAUGGUUU